GAGCUCGUAGGCGGUUUGUCGCGUCUGCUGUGAAAACUGGAGGCUCAACCUCCAGCCUGCAGUGGGUACGGGCAGACUAGAGUGCGGUAGGGGAGAUUGGAAUUCCUGGUGUAGCGGUGGAAUGCGCAGAUAUCAGGAGGAACACCGAUGGCGAAGGCAGAUCUCUGGGCCGUAACUGACGCUGAGGAGCGAAAGGGUGGGGAGCAAACAGGCUUAGAUACCCUGGUAGUCCACCCCGUAAACGUUGGGAACUAGUUGUGGGGUCCAUUCCACGGAUUCCGUGACGCAGCUAACGCAUUAAGUUCCCCGCCUGGGGAGUACGGCCGCAAGGCUAAAACUCAAAGGAAUUGACGGGGACCCGCACAAGCGGCGGAGCAUGCGGAUUAAUUCGAUGCAACGCGAAGAACCUUACCAAGGCUUGACAUAUACGAGAACGGGCUAGAAAUAGUCAACUCUUUGGACACUCGUAAACAGGUGGUGCAUGGUUGUCGUCAGCUCGUGUCGUGAGAUGUUGGGUUAAGUCCCGCAACGAGCGCAACCCUCGUUCUAUGUUGCCAGCACGUAAUGGUGGGAACUCAUGGGAUACUGCCGGGGUCAACUCGGAGGAAGGUGGGGAUGACGUCAAAUCAUCAUGCCCCUUAUGUCUUGGGCUUCACGCAUGCUACAAUGGCCGGUACAAAGGGCUGCAAUACCGUAAGGUGGAGCGAAUCCCAAAAAGCCGGUCCCAGUUCGGAUUGAGGUCUGCAACUCGACCUCAUGAAGUCGGAGUCGCUAGUAAUCGCAGAUCAGCAACGCUGCGGUGAAUACGUUCCCGGGUCUUGUACACACCGCCCGUCAAGUCAUGAAAGUCGGUAACACCUGAAGCCGGUGGCCCAACCCUUGUGGAGGGAGCCGUCGAAGGUGGGAUCGGUAAUUAGGACGAAGUCGUA
rnacentral:rRNA from 1 species